rnacentral:lncRNA from 1 species
GGUUUGAAUCGAGGGACGGGAUUCGAUGAGCGUGAGAUGCAAUGUACGACUCAGCCUGUUGCUGUAGCUGAUGUUCCCAUUAUAGUGGGAGACGAGGUAUUAAACACGGAGUCUACACCUGGUGGUGCAAAUGCAAAAUCUGAUGGAGCUGACACUGAACAGAAAUUGCUACCUUCCUCUGUUGAGCCCAUGGUAGACGUAUCUAGUGAGCUGCCCAGCCAAGAGGUAAAGGAGGCUCCAAGCACUGACCUUUCAGGAAAUGAUGAAGAUGUGAAGAUGGAAGAGGCCCCUGCUGCUCAGGGACAGCUAAACACUGAUGCAGCUUAUGGUGGUGAAAAUGCAAAACUUGGUGAAGCUGCCUUGGAGCUGCAGUUGCCACCUUCAUCUGGUGAGGCAAUAGUAGAGAUAUCUAGUGAGCCACUCAGCCAAGAGGCAAAGGAAGCUGCAAGCACUAACCCUCCAGGAAAUGAUGAAAAUGAGCUGCAAUUGCCACCUUCAUCUGGUGAGGCAAUGGUAGAGAUAUCUAGUGAGCCACUCAGCCAAGAGGCGAAGGAAGCUGCAAGCACUAACCCUCCAGGAAAUGAUGAAAAUGAGCUGCAAUUGCCACCUUCAUCUGGUGAGGCAAUGGUAGAGAUAUCUAGUGAGCCACUCAGCCAAGAGGCGAAGGAAGCUGCAAGCACUGGCCCUCCAGGAAAUAAUGAAAAUGCAAAGGUGCAAGAGGCUACUGUUGCUGCUCAGGUACUUCUGAGCACCGAACAUGCUCCUGAUGGUGAAACUUCAAGACUUGCUGGAGGUGAUACAGAACUGCAAUUGACACCAGCUGGUCAGGCUAUGGUAGACAUAUCUAGUGAGCCACCCAGCAGCCAAGAGGUAAAUGAGGCUCCAAUCAGUGACGCUUUGGGAAAUGAUGAAAAUAUAAAGACAGAAAAUACUGCUGAUGCUGAACCUGCCCCUGGUAGUGAAAAU